rnacentral:rRNA from 1 species
GACGAACGCUGGCGGCGUGCUUAACACAUGCAAGUCGAACGAGUGGCGAACGGGUGAGUAAUACGUGGGUACCCUGCCCUCUUUUUGGGAUAAGCCUUGGAAACGGGGUCUAAUACCGAAUAACGGGGGAUGGGCUCGCGGCCUAUAAGCUUGUUUGUGGGGAGAUGGCCUACCAAGGCGGGGACGGGUAGCCGGCCUGGGAGGGGGACAGGCCGAAAUGGGACUGGGAUACGGCCCAGACUCCUACGGGAGGAAGGAGGGGGGGAUAUUGCACAAUGGGAGAAAGACUGAUGCAGCGACGCCGCGUGGGGAAUGAAGGCUUGCGGGUUGUACACCUAUUUCGCUAUCGAACGAGUAGGUGGAGAAGAAGUGCCGGCUAACUACGUGCCAGAAGCCGCGGUAAUAC